UACGAAGGGUGCUAGCGUUGUUCGGAAUCACUGGGCGUAAAGAGUACGUAGGCGGUUAGAUAAGUCGAUUGUGAAAGCCCCGAGCUUAACUCGGGAAUUGCAACCGAAACUGUCUAGCUUGAGUAUGGUGGGGGAUAGUGGAAUUUCUAGUGUAGGGGUGAAAUCCGUAGAUAUUAGAAGGAAUACCGGUGGCGAAAGCGACUAUCUAUGCCAUUACUGACGCUGAGGUACGAAAGCGUGGGGAGCAAACAGG
rnacentral:rRNA from 1 species